rnacentral:rRNA from 1 species
AUUGAACGCUGGCGGCAUGCCUUACACAUGCAAGUCGAACGGCAGCACGGGAGCAAUCCUGGUGGCGAGUGGCGAACGGGUGAGUAAUAUAUCGGAACGUGCCCAGUCGUGGGGGAUAACGUAGCGAAAGCUACGCUAAUACCGCAUACGAUCUAUGGAUGAAAGCGGGGGAUCGCAAGACCUCGCGCGAUUGGAGCGGCCGAUAUCAGAUUAGGUUGUUGGUGGGGUAAAAGCUCACCAAGCCUGCGAUCUGUAGCUGGUCUGAGAGGACGACCAGCCACACUGGAACUGAGACACGGUCCAGACUCCUACGGGAGGCAGCAGUGGGGAAUUUUGGACAAUGGGCGCAAGCCUGAUCCAGCAAUGCCGCGUGCAGGAUGAAGGCCUUC